rnacentral:misc_RNA from 1 species
GCGGAGGAAAAGAAACCAACAGGGAUUGCCUCAGUAACGGCGAGUGAAGCGGCAACAGCUCAAAUUUGAAAUCUGGCUCUUUCAGGGUCCGAAUUGUAAUUUGCAGAGGAUGCUUUGGGUGCGGGCGCCUUCCGAGUUCCCUGGAACGGGACGCCAUAGAGGGUGAGAGCCCCGUCUGGUAGGAUGCCCAGCCCGUGUAAAGCUCCCUCGACGAGUCGAGUAGUUUGGGAAUGCUGCUCUAAGGGGAGGUAUACUCCUUCCAAAGCUAAAUACCGGCUGGAGACCGAUAGCGCACAAGUAGAGUGAUCGAAAGAUGAAAAGCACUUUGAAAAGAGAGUCAAAUAGCACGUGAAAUUGUUGAAAGGGAAGCGCUCGCUACCAGACUUGGGUACGCGGUUCCGUAGGUGCUCCGCACCUGCGUACUCCUCGUGCCCAGGCCAGCAUCAGUUCUUCGUCGGGUUAAAAGGCUUCGGGAAUGUGGCUCGCCUCGGUGAGUGUUAUAGCCCGUUCCGUCAUACCCGGUGGGGGACUGAGGUACGCGCUCCGCAAGGAUGCUGGCGUAAUGGUAGCUAGUGACCCGUCUUGAAACACGGACCAAGGAGUCAACCUUAUGUGCAAGUGCCCGGGCGUAAAACCCCAGCGCGGAAUGAAAGUGAACGUAGGUGAGAGCUUCGGCGCAUCACCGACCGAUCCUGAUGUCCUCGGACGGAUUUGAGUGUGAGCAUAUAGGGUUGGACCCGAAAGAAGAUGAACUAUGCGUGUGUAGGGUGAAUCCAGAGGAAACUCUGGUGGAGGCUCGCAGCGGUUCUGACGUGCAAAUCGA